rnacentral:rRNA from 1 species
GAUGAACGCUAGCGAUAGGCUUAACACAUGCAAGUCGAGGGGCAGCAUAAGAUCAGCUUGCUGAUUUUGAUGGCGACCGGCGGAUGGGUGAGUAACGCGUAUGUAAUCUACCUUCAAAAGGAGGAUAGCCCGGAGAAAUUCGGAUUAAUACUCCAUAAUAUAGAAGUACCGCAUGGUAUUUCUCCUAAAGAUUUAUCGUUUGAAGAUGAGCAUGCGUUCCAUUAGCUUGUUGGUAAGGUCACGGCUUACCAAGGCAACGAUGGAUAGGGGAACUGAGAGGUUUACUCCCCCANACUGGGACUGAGACACGGCCCAGACUCCUACGGGAGCAGCAGUGAGGAAUAUUGGUCAAUGGGCAGAGCCUGAACCAGCCAAGUCGCGUGAAGGAUGACUGCCCUAUGGGUUGUAAACUUCUUUUAUAUGGGAAUAAAGUGUCCUACGUGUAGGAUUUUGCAUGUACCAUAUGAAUAAGCAUCGGCUAACUU